UUUAUGCACGUGGUAGGAGAGCGUUCUAGCGGCGGUGAAGCAUGACCGAGAGGACAUGUGGAGCUUCUAGAAGUGAGAAUGCCGGUAUGAGUAACGAAAGACAGGUGAGAAUCCUGUCCGCCGCAAGACUAAGGUUUCCUGGGGCAGGCUCGUCCGCCCAGGGUAAGUCGGGACCUAAGGCGAGGCCGAGAGGCGUAGUCGAUGGACAACAGGUUGAAAUUCCUGUACUGCACCGAAUCGUUAUGAGCGAUGGAGGGACGCAGGAGGCUAGCAGCGCGUGGUGCUGGAUACCACGUUCAAGCGUCAAGUCUGAGAGCGAGUCAAAUGCUUGCUCUCAUAAGGACAAGGCGUGAUGAGGAGCGAAAUUAAAGUAGCGAAGGCUGCGACGUCACACUGCCGAGAAAAGCUUCUAGCCAGAGACGGUGCACCCGUACCGCAAACCGACACAGGUAGUCGAGGAGAGUAUCCUCAGGUGAGCGAGAGAACUCUCGUUAAGGAACUCGGCAAAAUGGCCCCGUAACUUCGGGAGAAGGGGCGCUGGUCGCAAGAUCAGCCGCAGUGAAAAGGCCCAAGCAACUGUUUAUCAAAAACACAGGCAUCUGCAAAAUCGUAAGAUGAAGUAUAGGUGCUGACACCUGCCCGGUGCUGGAAGGUUAAGAGGAGAGCUUAGCGCAAGCGAAGGUUUGAAUUGAAGCCCCAGUAAACGGCGGCCGUAACUAUAACGGUCCUAAGGUAGCGAAAUUCCUUGUCGGGUAAGUUCCGACCUGCACGAAAGGUGUAAUGAUUUGGGCACUGUCUCAACGAGAGACUCGGUGAAAUUAUAAUACCCGUGAAGAUGCGGGUUACCCGCGACAGGACGGAAAGACCCCAUGGAGCUUUACUGCAGUUUAAUAUUGGGUAUCUGUCAAGCAUGUACAGGAUAGGUAGGAGCCGGAGAAGAUAGGACGCCAGUCUUAUCAGAGGCGCUGUUGGGAUACUACCCUUGCUUGACGGAUGCUCUAACUCAGGCCUGUGAUCCAGGCCGAGGACAGUGUUUGACGGGCAGUUUGACUGGGGCGGUCGCCUCCUAAAGUGUAACGGAGGCGCCCAAAGGUUCCCUCAGAAUGGUUGGAAAUCAUUCGCAGAGUGUAAAGGUAAAAGGGAGCUUGACUGCGAGAGAGACAACUCGAGCAGGUACGAAAGUAGGGCUUAGUGAUCUGGUGGUACCGUAUGGAAGGGCCAUCACUCAACGGAUAAAAGCUACCCUGGGGAUAACAGGCUUAUCUCCCCCAAGAGUUCACAUCGACGGGGAGGUUUGGCACCUCGAUGUCGGCUCGUCGCAUCCUGGGGCUGAAGUCGGUCCCAAGGGUUGGGCUGUUCGCCCAUUAAAGCGGCACGCGAGCUGGGUUCAGAACGUCGUGAGACAGUUCGGUCCCUAUCCGUCGUGGGCGUAGGAAAUUUGAGAGGAGCUGUCCUUAGUACGAGAGGACCGGGAUGGACGCACCGCUGGUGUACCAGUUGUCUUGCCAAAGGCAUCGCUGGGUAGCUAUGUGCGGACGGGAUAAGCGCUGAAAGCAUCUAAGUGCGAAGCCCCCCUCAAGAUGAGAUUUCCCAUUUCUUCAAGAAAGUAAGACACCUCAGAGACGAUGAGGUAGAUAGGCCGGGAGUGGAAGAGCCGUGAGGCUUGGAGCGGACC
rnacentral:rRNA from 1 species